rnacentral:rRNA from 1 species
UCUUGUCAUUGUGUGCCCGCCGCCGCGGUAAUCCGGCGGAUGCGCGCGUUAUCCGGAUUUAUUGGGUUUAAAGGGAGCGCAGACGGGUCGUUAAGUCAGCUGUGAAAGUUUGGGGCUCAACCUUAAAAUUGCAGUUGAUACUGGCGUCCUUGAGUGCGGUUGAGGUGUGCGGAAUUCGUGGUGUAGCGGUGAAAUGCUUAGAUAUCACGAAGAACUCCGAUUGCGAAGGCAGCACACUAAUCCGUAACUGACGUUCAUGCUCGAAAGUGUGGGUAUCAAACAGG